UACGUAGGGGGCAAGCGUUGUCCGGAAUUAUUGGGCGUAAAGAGCUCGUAGGCGGUGUGUCGCGUCGGCCGUGAAAACCUGCAGCUUAACUGUGGGCUUGCGGUCGAUACGGGCAUCACUGGAGUUCGGCAGGGGAGACUGGAAUUCCGUGGUGUAGCGGUGAAAUGCGCAGAUAUCAGGAGGAACACCGGUGGCGAAGGCGGGUCUCUGGGCCGAUACUGACGCUGAGGAGCGAAAGCGUGGGGAGCGAACAGG
rnacentral:rRNA from 1 species